AGAAGCCAGGAAGAUGGGAGAGGAGCGACGAAAACAGGACAAUUCAAGACUAGUUAAGGCCCAGAUCCUCAGCGCAAUGGACCUUAAGGGCAAGCAGUGGAGAUACAAAGACAACGGAUCAAGUCCUGGCCUCAUUGAACGACAGUUGCAAAACAUCAGGAUUUCGCCCAAUGACAACAGGAAAACAAAACACAGCCGAGUGUAAAAGAACAGAGUUGCCACUUCCCGAUUUCACCAUGAUACUGUCAUUUGUGCAGUGACCUGUCUAUGGACCCCGCAUCACUCCUGCGGUAGCGGCAAGAGCAGCAGCGAUUAGGAUGGAGCUGAAUAACCUCUGUCAUUGUCCUGGCCUGCCAUGAGGUUUCUCAGCUCAAUGCCACACUUGAAUGACACUCUGUCAUUAUGCUAUAUUUAGGUAAUGAAAGGUGUAAUUAGCUUUGUUCUGCUGCAAGCUGAUCUGGCUCUGUGAGCAUUACAAAAGGUAAUAAAAUAGGUGC